UACGUAGGGGGCUAGCGUUAUCCGGAAUUACUGGGCGUAAAGGGUGCGUAGGUGGUUUCUUAAGUCAGAGGUGAAAGGCUACGGCUCAACCGUAGUAAGCCUUUGAAACUAGGAAACUUGAGUGCAGGAGAGGAGAGUGGAAUUCCUAGUGUAGCGGUGAAAUGCGUAGAUAUUAGGAGGAACACCAGUUGCGAAGGCGGCUCUCUGGACUGUAACUGACACUGAGGCACGAAAGCGUGGGGAGCAAACAGGAUUAGAUACCCCCGUAGUCCCUGAGCGGGCU
rnacentral:rRNA from 1 species